UUCUAUGUUCAUUUGAAAAGACAAGAACUGAAUAGGGAUAGUCAACGUAACUUUGUGAAUGGAACCAAAGUCUCAUUUCGAAGUAACAAACAUGAUCCCAGGGCUCAGAGAGGAUGACAUUGCAGCUUUGAUUGAUGAAGCUACAGACAUUUACAGUUUCAUCAAUCGUCCGAUAACUUGGUUUGGCGUCACAGAGGAAAGAAAGAACAAUCAAAAGAAGAAAAGUAUGUACAGAGUAGGGAGUGAUCUUUUUUUUUACAACAUAUUCAUUGACUUGUGAGAAUAAAAUCAGGCCUAUGAGGUGUUAUGUAGUUAAACCAUUUUUUCCAGUAUGAAUAAAGUUGUUCCAACUUAUGAUUAACAGAUGCUGUUAUCUUCUCCAUUUUGUAAAUGUCCAUUGUA